rnacentral:rRNA from 1 species
UGUCGGCUCAUCGCAUCCUGGGGCUGUAGUCGGUCCCAAGGGUUGGGCUGUUCGCCCAUUAAAGCGGUACGCGAGCUGGGUUCAGAACGUCGUGAGACAGUUCGGUCCCUAUCCGUCGUGGGCGUAGGAAAUUUGAGAGGAGCUGUCCUUAGUACGAGAGGACCGGGAUGGACAUACCUCUGGUGUACCAGUUGUCGUGCCAACGGCAUAGCUGGGUAGCUAUGUGUGGACGGGAUAAGUGCUGAAAGCAUCUAAGCAUGAAGCCCCCCUCAAGAUGAGAUUUCCCAACUUCGGUUAUAAGAUCCCUCAAAGAUGAUGAGGUUAAUAGGUUCGAGGUGGAAGCAUGGUGACAUGUGGAGCUGACGAAUACUAAUCGAUCGAAGACUUAAUCAAAA